GGUUACUGCUAUCGGUGUUCGCCUAAGCCAUGCGAGUCAUAUGUUCUUCGGAACAUGGCGUACUGCUCAGUAACACGUGGAUAACCUGCCCUUGGGUCCGGCAUAACCCCGGGAAACUGGGGAUAAUUCCGGAUAACGCAUAUAUGCUGGAAUGCUUUCUGCGUAAAAUGGAUUCGUCUGCCCAAGGAUGGGUCUGCGGCCUAUCAGGUAGUAGUGGGUGUAAUGUACCUACUAGCCGACGACGGGUACGGGUUGUGAGAGCAAGAGCCCGGAGAUGGAUUCUGAGACAUGAAUCCAGGCCCUACGGGGCGCAGCAGGCGCGAAAACUUUACAAUGCGGGAAACCGUGAUAAGGGGACACCGAGUGCCAGCAUCAUAUGCUGGCUGUCCGGGUGUGUAAAAUACACCUGUUAGCAAGGGCCGGGCAAGACCGGUGCCAGCCGCCGCGGUAACACCGGCGGCCCGAGUGGUGAUCGUGAUUAUUGGGUCUAAAGGGUCCGUAGCCGGUUUGGUCAGUCCUCCGGGAAAUCUGACGGCUUAACCGUUAGGCUUUCGGGGGAUACUGCCAGACUUGGAACCGGGAGAGGUAAGAGGUACUACAGGGGUAGGAGUGAAAUCUUGUAAUCCCUGUGGGACCACCUGUGGCGAAGGCGUCUUACCAGAACGGGUUCGACGGUGAGGGACGAAAGCUGGGGGCACGAACCGGAUUAGAUACCCGGGUAGUCCCAGCCGUAAACGAUGCUCGCUAGGUGUCAGGCAUGGCGCGACCGUGUCUGGUGCCGCAGGGAAGCCGUGAAGCGAGCCACCUGGGAAGUACGGCCGCAAGGCUGAAACUUAA
rnacentral:rRNA from 1 species